rnacentral:rRNA from 1 species
GGAGUUAGCCGGUGCUUCUUCUGCGAGUAACGUCACAGAUGUAAGGGUAUUAACUUACACCCUUUCCUCCUCGCUGAAAGUGCUUUACAACCCGAAGGCCUUCUUCACACACGCGGCAUGGCUGCAUCAGGGUUUCCCCCAUUGUGCAAUAUUCCCCACUGCUGCCUCCCGUAGGAGUCUGGGCCGUGUCUCAGUCCCAGUGUGGCUGAUCAUCCUCUCAGACCAGCUAGGGAUCGUCGCCUAGGUGAGCCUUUACCUCACCUACUAGCUAAUCCCACCUGGGCUUAUCCAUCAGCGCAAGGCCCGAAGGUCCCCUGCUUUCCCCCGUAGGGCGUAUGCGGUAUUAGCAGUCGUUUCCAACUGUUAUCCCCACAAAUGGGCAAAUUCCCAGGCAUUACUCACCCGUCCGCCGCUCGUCAUCUUCAAAAGCAAGCUUUUGAAAUGUUACCGCUCGACUUGCAUGUGUUAGGCCUGCCGCCAGCGUUCAAUCUGAGCCAGAAUCAAACUCUGA